rnacentral:rRNA from 1 species
ACUACGGGAGGCAGCAGUGGGGAAUAUUGGGCAAUGGGCGCAAGCCUGACCCAGCAACGCCGCGUGAAGGAAGAAGGCUUUCGGGUUGUAAACUUCUUUUCUCAGGGACGAAGCAAGUGACGGUACCUGAGGAAUAAGCCACGGCUAACUACGUGCCAGCAUCCGCGGUAAUCCGUAGGUGGCAAGCGUUAUCCGGAUUUACUGGGUGUAAAGGGCGUGUAGGCGGGAAAGCAAGUCAGAUGUGAAAACCAUGGGCUCAACCUGUGGCCUGCAUUUGAAACUGUUUUUCUUGAGUACUGGAGAGGCAGACGGAAUUCCUAGUGUAGCGGUGAAAUGCGUAGAUAUUAGGAGGAACACCAGUGGCGAAGGCGGUCUGCUGGACAGCAACUGACGCUGAGGCGCGAAAGCGUGGGGAGCAAACAGGAUUAGAUACCCGUGUAGUC